UACGUAGGGGGCUAGCGUUAUCCAGAAUUACUGGGCGUAAAGGGUGCGUAGGCGGCGCGGUAAGUCGGGUGUGAAAUCUUGGAGCUUAACUCCGAAACUGCAUUCGAUACUGCCGUGCUUGAGGACUGGAGAGGAGACUGGAAUUUACGGUGUAGCGGUGAAAUGCGUAGAUAUCGUAAGGAAGACCAGUGGCGAAGGCGGGUCUCUGGACAGUUCCUGACGCUGAGGCACGAAGGUCAGGGGAGCAAACGGG
rnacentral:rRNA from 1 species